rnacentral:rRNA from 1 species
GAUGAACGCUAGCUACAGGCUUAACACAUGCAAGUCGCGGGGCAGCAUGGGGGUUGCUUGCAAUCCCCGAUGGCGACCGGCGCACGGGUGAGUAACGCGUAUCCAACCUGCCCUUCACCACGGGAUAACCCGGCGAAAGUCGGACUAAUACCGUAUGUUGUCCAUUGACGGCAUCCGAUUUGGACGAAAGGCUUGGCGGUGAGGGAUGGGGAUGCGGCCGAUUAGCCAGACGGCGGGGUAACGGCCCACCGUGGCUACGAUCGGUAGGGGUUCUGAGAGGAAGGUCCCCCACACUGGAACUGAGACACGGUCCAGACUCCUACGGGAGGCAGCAGUGAGGAAUAGUGGUCAAUGGGCGUAAGCCUGAACCAGCCAAGUAGCGUGCAGGAUGACGGCCCUAUGGGUUGUAAACUGCUUUUAUGCGGGGAUAAAGUGGCCCACGUGUGGGCUUUUGCAGGUACCGCAUGAAUAAGGACCGGCUAAUUCCGUG